rnacentral:rRNA from 1 species
CCUACGGGAGGCAGCAGUGGGGAAUAUUGGGCAAUGGGCGCAAGCCUGAUCCAGCAACGCCGCGUGAAGGAAGAAGGCUUUCGGGUUGUAAACUUCUUUUCUCAGGGACGAAGCAAGUGACGGUACCUGAGGAAUAAGCCACGGCUAACUACGUGCCAGCAGCCGCGGUAAUACGUAGGUGGCAAGCGUUAUACGGAUUUACUGGGUGUAAAGGGCGUGUAGGCGGGACUGCAAGUCAGAUGUGAAAACCACGGGCUCAACCUGUGGCCUGCAUUUAAAACUGUAGUUCUUGAGUACUGGGGAGGCAGACGGAAUUCCUAGUGUAGCGGUGAAAUGCGUAGAUAUUAGGAGGAACACCAGUGGCGAAGGCGGUCUGCUGGACAGCAACUGACGCUGAGGCGCGAAAGCGUGGGGAGCAAACAGGAUUAGAUACCCUUGUAGUC